CCGCCCGUGCUGCCCCCUCCCAACGCCUCCAGCCACCUCGCUGCCGCCGGAGCCCGCUACCGGAAAUCGUGCGGCCGGCCGGGAAGGCGGCGGCAGGGAAAACGUGCCGGCGGCGGAGCACCCCCUCGGCGUGGGAGGCGGUACGACGCACGCACGGCGGAAGGCGGCGGACGGAGCGGCCGGCGGGGCGGAUCCGGUCGCGCCGGACACGGAUUCGGCCUCCCCGGUGGAGGAUCUGGCCCCCUGCCGGCCAGAUCGGGAGAGGGGUGGCGGCAGCGCGGCAAGACGGCGGGCGGCCUCGAGCUCGCGGCGACGGCGACGCGGCAAGUCGGCGGGCGGCCCGAGCUCGCGGCGACAGCGGCGCUGCAAGAUGCUCGCGGCAGCGGGGGCGCGACUCGGCGGAACAGCUCGCGGCGGCGGCGGCCGCGACGGCGCGGCAACGCGGCUCGGAGGAGCAACCCGGUCGGCACGCAGCGGAGGCUGACCGGCCAAACGGCUGUUGGUGACGGCGGCGACGGUCGUGCCCGCCGUGGUGCUCGUGGCAGUUUGCGGCGGUGUCGGCUAGCAACGGUGGUGUCGGGCUGGCUACUUGGUGGCAGAGGACGACGGCGCAGCGGUUUGCGGAGGCGGAGGCUGGCAUCGGUAGCAGCGGUGACGGCGGCCGUGGCUGUGGACGGUGGCGACGUCAGCGGAUGCGGGUUGCUAGCGAGGUGGCUGGGCGUUCGGCAGCAGCGGCUGCGGUGGCGGUGACUGUGUCUGC
rnacentral:lncRNA from 3 species